UAGGGAAUCUUCCGCAAUGGACGCAAGUCUGACGGAGCAACGCCGCGUGAGUGAAGAAGGAUUUCGGUUCGUAAAACUCUGUUGUUAGAGAAGAACAGCGCAUAGAGUAACUGUUAUGCGUGUGACGGUAUCUAACCAGAAAGCCACGGCUAACUACGUGCCAGCAGCCGCGGUAAUACGUAGGUGGCAAGCGUUGUCCGGAUUUAUUGGGCGUAAAGCGAGCGCAGGCGGUCAAUUAAGUCUGAUGUGAAAGCCCCCGGCUCAAACGGGGAGGGUCAUAGGAAUCUGGUUGACUUGAGAGCAGAAGAGGGGAAUGGAAUUCCAUGUGUAGCGAUGAAUUGCAUAGAAAUAUGGAGGAACACCAGUGGAAAAGACGACUAACUGAUAUGUAAAUGACGAUGAGGUACGAAAGCGUGGGUAGCAAACAGG
rnacentral:rRNA from 1 species